UCCUCAAUAGCUUAAUGGUAGAGCGGUCAGUUGUUAACUGACUGGUCGUAGGUUCAAAUCUUACAUGGAGAG
rnacentral:tRNA from 1 species